rnacentral:rRNA from 1 species
AUUGAACGCUGGCGGCAUGCCCUACACAUGCAAGUCGAACGGUAACGGGCCUUCGGGUGCCGACGAGUGGCGAACGGGUGAGUAAUACAUCGGAACGUGCCCGAUCGUGGGGGAUAACGAGGCGAAAGCUUUGCUAAUACCGCAUACGAUCUACGGAUGAAAGCAGGGGACCGCAAGGCCUUGCGCGGACGGAGCGGCCGAUGGCAGAUUAGGUAGUUGGUGGGAUAAAAGCUUACCAAGCCGACGAUCUGUAGCUGGUCUGAGAGGAUGAUCAGCCACACUGGGACUGAGACACGGCCCAGACUCCUACGGGAGGCAGCAGUGGGGAAUUUUGGACAAUGGGCGCAAGCCUGAUCCAGCCAUGCCGCGUGCAGGAUGAAGGCCUUCGGGUUGUAAACUGCUUUUGUACGGAACGAAAAGCCUUCUUUUAAUACAGGAGGGUCAUGACGGUACCGUAAGAAUAAGCACCGGCUAACUACGUG